UACGAAGGGUGCAAGCGUUAAUCGGAAUUACUGGGCGUAAAGCGUGCGUAGACGGUUUCAUCAGUCUGCUGUGAAAGCCCUGGGCUCAACCUGGGAACUGCAGUGGAUACUGUGAGGCUAGAGUGCGGUAGAGGAUGGUGGAAUUCCCGGUGUAGCGGUGAAAUGCGUAGAGAUCGGGAGGAACAUCAGUGGCGAAGGCGGCCAUCUGGACCAGCACUGACGUUGAGGCACGAAAGCGUGGGGAGCAAACAGG
rnacentral:rRNA from 1 species